CUGCCUCCCGAAUGUGCCUCUCCAAAUAUCGUACGCUGCAACGUCAUGCUAGCCUUUUAUGUCAGGUCUCGUAUGCCUGUUUCAACCGCAGGUUGUGCUAGCAUGACAAAUAAUGUCUGUAAACGUGUACGCUGCGUAAUUUCUUUACGGAUGGAUGGGGAUGGAACGUCAAUACUCAAAUUUUCAGUGCGUGUUACCGAUAUAGCUUGGUCUGUGCAAGAAGUUCAGGCUGUGGACACUGCAGUCAUCUGCUCUGGAAUGACAUGAAUGUGGCACCGUGCCUCGCCAACAGGUGAAAGCAAUUCAUCACCUUCAGAAGAAGGUCUCGCCAGAGUGUGGAGCCAAGCAUUAAUAGUAAAUCUCUGUACCACAGUACAACUAAACAGUUUUCAGUAUUUGCUUAUUCAUUGUAAUACCUAUCUCUUAGGUGCACUUUACUGUGUGCUACAGUAAACAUUUAGUAACUGCAACAGCCAGUAUCCAGCACUUCUUGUUUGAGCAAAGCAGUAAUUCGACUAGUGGACUGCACUCUACAACAGAGUGAAUAUCCCUGUGCACCAUGGUGUGUUUGAGGUGACCAUAAGUUUCAGCUAAUGUGACGUUUGACUGAAAGAGCAUUCACUGUAUAAUGCUCGAAACUGAGAUAUUGAUUUUCAACUUGCACGUUAGUUACACCUCAGUCAUAGCUAUUGCAUAUCUACGACAUUAGUGCUUUUCUGGAACUGUUACUUACUUGUACUAUAAUAAAAAUCUUGAUUAUUACUGCCUACUCCUGCCAGAGGUGACAAGAGUAAUUAUGUAAGUAAGAAAACAAAUGUAAGUAAUUAUUUCCUUGGCAGGCAUCGUGUGUGUACACGACCUCAUUCUUGCUCCAAGAUUGCUUUCAUCUGUACUGUUAUUCAAAGGCCAUACCACUUUUUGCAUAUGAAAUAAAUUGUAAUGUACCA